CGACCCCAGGUCAGGCGGGGCUACCCGCUGAGUUUAAGCAU
rnacentral:rRNA from 1 species